rnacentral:rRNA from 1 species
GAUGAACGCUGGCGGCGUGCCUAAUACAUGCAAGUCGAGCGAAUGGAUUAAGAGCUUGCUCUUAUGAAGUUAGCGGCGGACGGGUGAGUAACACGUGGGUAACCUGCCCAUAAGACUGGGAUAACUCCGGGAAACCGGGGCUAAUACCGGAUAACAUUUUGAACCGCAUGGUUCGAAAUUGAAAGGCGGCUUCGGCUGUCACUUGUGGAUGGACCCGCGUCGCAUUAGCUAGUUGGUGAGGUAACGGCUCACCAAGGCAACGAUGCGCAGCCGACCUGAGAGGGUGAUCGGCCACACUGGGACUGAGACACGGCCCAGACUCCUACGGGAGGCAGCAGUAGGGAAUCUUCCGCAAUGGACGAAAGUCUGACGGAGCAACGCCGCGUGAGUGAUGAAGGCUUUCGGGUCGUAAAACUCUGUUGUUAGGGAAGAACAAGUGCUAGUUGAAUAAGCUGGCACCUUGACGGUACCUAACCAGAAAGCCACGGCUAACUACGUGCCAGCCGCCGCCGUAA